AAGAGUGUAGGAAUGCAUGUACCUGUAACUGUUUCCUGGGUCGUGAUAUCAAGAGCACCAUUCCCAUAUAAGGGCAGUGUUCCCUCCCCUUUUCUGUGUGUACCCGUCACUCCCGUGAGCGGGCAGUUGAGCAUGUUCUGCUUACAUUAAAGAAUGCCACGAGUCGGAUGGCUAAAGAGAUAAACGCCUGGACGUCCGUUCAUUCUCCGGAAAUCAUUGUUCCGCCGCGCAGGUAGGCCGAAUAAAUAAGCCUACCUGUCAACAGGUUAUGGGCCCAGGAACCGGGAAUGAUUCCAAAGUUUGACGGACUUGCGCGUCGAUGGCUAGCAUGACCGCGCUAGCAUACAGAAGUAUCCAAAAGAGCUAGUUUAGCAUCGGGAGAACCGGGAAGCUAAAGCUAGGCUAAAUAAACGGGAGCUAAACCGAACUACAAACAGCCAUGGCAAACCGAAGCAAGAGCCAGUGGCCCACUUUUGACGGGAGGGCAGAAGAGUAUGAGCUCUGGGAAGAGAGGAUGCUGUGCUGCAUGCACGGGGUGGGGCUGAAGCAGACAAUCCUGACAGAGCCCGCUGAACCACUGUCGGAGGAAGACAGGGCUAAAGACGAUAAGCUGAAUGCGGACGCCUACUGUGCAUUGGCGCCGCUGCUUGACAACACGAGCUUGGGGCUGAUAUUCAGAGACACAAAGGACAAGGGCCGAGAGAGUCUCAGAGUGUUAAAAGAACACUACAUCGGAAAAGGUAGGCCCCGAAUUGUUUCCCUGUACAUAACAAUGACAGCGCUGAAGAAAGCUGACAACGAGACCGUAACCAAAUACAUCAUCAGAGCCGAGCAGAUCAUUACAGCACUCAGGAGCGCAGGCGAAGCACCGAGCGAGGGACUGAUGAUGGCGAUGAUCAUGAGGGGAUUACCGGAGAAGUACAAGCCGUUCACACUGAUGGUGACGCAUGGUUCAGCUGACAUGACACUGGGAGAGUUCAAGGCAAAGCUAAGAAAUUUUGAGGCUUCAGAAGACGCAGACCCAGUCCUAGAAGAGGCAGGAGAAAGGGUGCUGAGGGCGCAAGCGGCGCCGAGGAAAAAGACUGGACUAGUGGAGAUGGUGUGUUGGCGGUGCGGAGAAAAGGGCCACAGAAGGGAUGACUGCACAGAGAAAGUUUGGUGCAGUUUUUGCAGAAGCAGGGGGCACACCGACAAAGCGUGCACAAAGAAGGAGCGUGAGCGGGGCGCCCGGUGCGCAUGUGUACAAGAUGGCGGCGGUGGCCGUAGGCCCGGGUGUGAACCAGACGGCGACCGGGGAGCCGCGGGAGGAGAAGACCGCACCUUCAGGGCACAAACAGAAGAUGCCAGUCUCUCAAGGAAAAUGCUGCAGACCCAGAGAAGGGGAAUGAUCGUGGACACGGGCGCGUCGUCCCACAUCAUCAACGAUAGAAGCAAGUUCAAAAGCUUUGACAGCACCUUCAGGCCGGAGAGACACAGUAUGGAGCUUGCAGAUGGGAAGCGUACUGUCGGUGUGGUGAAAGGCAGGGGAGACGCACAGGUAUGUCUCAUAAGCAGUGGGGGGCACCGGUGUACAGUGACAUUAAAGAACGCUCUCUACAUUCCCUCGUACCCUCAAGAACUCUUCUCAGUGAAGUCUGCUACCGCCCACGGUGCCAAAGUGUUUUUCGAUGAAGGAAAAGACGUUCUAGAGUCAACGGAUGGCACAAGGUUUGAAAUCUAUGUAUGUAAGAGAAUGUACUACCUGCAAACCGAGUGUGAUCUAGAUGAUGUGUGUCACGUCAGCUAUGAUAUUCAGACAUGGCAUGAGGUAAUGGGUCACUGUAAUUACGACGAUAUCUUGAAAUUGCAGGACGUGACAGAGGGCAUGCACAUUAAAGGUCCAAAGCGCAGGCCUGAUAAAGAAUGUGCAGUAUGCAUAGAGGGGAAGUUCACGCAGACGAGAAACAGAGACCCGACUAACAGAGCAAAGACGCCGCUUGAGCUGGUGAACACAGACCUAACCGGCCCAAUUAACAAUGAGUCCAUAGAUGGUUUUAAAUACAUGCAGUCUUUCACAGACGUGUGUACGGGGGCAGUGCUGGUCUAUUUUCUGAAAGCAAAAAGCGAUGCAGUUCAGGCUACAGAGAAGUACCUGGCAGAUGUGGCGCCUUACGGCACUGUGAAGUGCAUCAGAUCAGAUAACGGGACUGAAUUUACUAACCGAGAGUUUCAGACACUACUGAGAAAGAACAAAAUCAGGCACGAGACUUCCUGUCCUUACUCUCCGCACCAGAACGGGACAGCUGAAAGGGAAGGGCGAACUCUUUUCGAGAUGGCCAGAUGUAAGCUCAUUGACAGUGGCUUACCUAAGAGCCUUUGGCACUAUGCCAUCCAGGAAGCAGCCUAUACCAGGAACCGGUGUUUCAACAAGCACACAGGCACUACCCCAUACACAGCACUGACAGGUAAAAAGUGCAAUUUAGCCGACAUGCAUAAAUUCGGGUCCGAGUGUUAUGCCUACCAGCAAGACAGAGGCCAUGACAUCAACUGAGUCAGGAAAGUGGAAGAAAGCAAUGGACGAGGAGAUGGGGUCCCUAGAAGACAACCAAACCUUUACCCUGACUAAGCUACCAGAGGGCAGGAAGACAGUGGGAGGAAAAUGGGUAUAUUCGAUUAAGGGAGACAUUGACGGAAACGACCAGUACAAAGCUAGGUUUGUAGCGAAAGGAUACAGCCAGAGAGCAGGGAUAGAUUAUGGCGAGACAUUCUCACCGACAGCAAAUCUGACAAGUAUUCGUGUAGUGAUGCAGAAGGCAGCCCAAGACGAUUUGAUUCUGCAUCAAAUGGAUGUGAAAACCGCUUACCUACAUGCCCCUAUUGAUCGAGACAUCUACAUGGAACAACCUGAAGGUUACAAAAAGGAGGGAGAUGAGCUGGUGUGUAAACUAGAGAAGUCAAUCUACGGCCUGAAGCAGUCGGGGCGAAAUUGGAAUGAGAUGCUCCACACCUGCCUAGUAGAUGACAACUUUAUUCAGAACCCGACAGACCACUGUGUUUACACAAAAGAGUCUACAGAGACAGGGAAGGUAAUAGUGGUCAUUUGGGUGGAUGAUCUGAUCAUCGCAGCCAGCAACACCCAGAGUUUGGAGAGGGUGAAAAACAUGCUUUCUAACAGAUUUAAGAUGAAGGACCUAGGCAGGUUGAAGUAUUUUCUGGGCAUGGACUUCAUCCAGUCUGACGGCUGGGUAAAAGUGUCACAAAGGAGGUUUGUUGAAAAACUACUGAAUCGUUUCGACAUGCAGGAGUGUAGGGUUAGAGAAACCCCAUGUGAACCAAAGCUAGAAUACUCUGAAGGUGCGCCUAAAAUCUCUGAUGUGAAGAAGUACAGGGAGGCUGUCGGCAGCCUCAUUUACCUGACAACCUGUACACGCCCAGACAUAUGUUUCGUAGUGAACAAGUUAUCACAACAUUUUGCUGACCCUACAGAUGAGCAUUGGGUCACGGUGAAACAUGUUUUGCGGUACCUCAGAGGUACUGCAGACAAACAGCUCUGUUUCACAAA
ensembl:lncRNA